CGCGCACCGAGGAACGCUGCGCAUUGCGCAAUGCACAAACUUUCGUUCUUCUUGCACCGACGCGAUUGAAACCCAUGCUAACCAGAAAAAUGUAUCAUCUUAACAAUCAACUGUUUCCCUAAUCUCCUAUUCAUCUUCAUGGUAAACAUUAUCACAGUCUAUGAAAUAAAACGAAACGAAUGACACUGGUGAACUCGAGGCGAAUUGAAAGCGUCGCUUGUAAGAAAGGCUCGUGAAACGAUUCCCUCCACGGAACGUCAAUUGCAAAAUGGAGGCAAUACGACAGUACGUCGCGUUCGGAGGGAAGAAUUUGCAUGAGCAUUGUAGAGUAUUGAGAGGUGUUAUCCUGUAAUAGAUUGCAAAAACCGAGUUGAAAUUUAUAGAGCUGGGCAGAGUCGUUUCGCGACUUUUGUCAUGUAAUUCUAGCUACAAUGAAAUCAGUCAUUUCGUGGAAACCUCCAGAAAGAUAUGGAAAAUCUGUAGAGGAUACGUAUAAGGACACGUCAUCUUGAUAUUAGAGUAGUUAUCAAGAUAGUAAUUUUUUAUCGCUUUUCCAGAUGCAUGUUCUUGGAAUGGACGUUGUGUGAUUAUUCUGGCCAUUGGAAGCUUCUUCUACGUUUUCUGUUCGGAAAAAAUAGACGCCAUUGUGUGUCUAAACGUAAAUAAUGUUCGAACAAUGUCGAGCGAUAUCGAGCGAUGUAGAGCGAUGUCGAGCUGGUGAAAUUAUUGAAUUUUGGCGCUUUUGUCAAUUGAACUUAACGGCGGAAAUUGAACUGUACUAAAGUCGAUUAUAUUAAUAAGUUUCUUGAUUUUUUGUGGUAUCAUGAUCUGAAUUACAUUUUUAUUGUAACAAAAAUAUUUUGUAAAUAUAAACAGAAUAUCAGAUAUUAAUUGUUAUUAAUGAUAUACAUCGAUGAAUUUCUGA